rnacentral:sRNA from 1 species
UUCUUGAGUAGCUGGGACUACAGGCGCAUGCCACCAUGCCCAGCUAAUUUUUGUAUUUUUAGUAGAGAUGGGGUUUCACCUUGUUGGCCAGGAUGGUCUUGAUGUCUUGACCUUGUGAUCCGCCUGCCUCAGCCUCCCAGAGUGCUGGGAUUACAGGCGUGAGCCACUGUGCCCAGCCUAAAACAGUUAUUUUCUUUAAAGUCUUGCUUACUGUUCAGAGGAAAUUGUUUUAUUGUCUCCAGGAAAAUCCAGAAGUAUGGUUCAUCCGACCUGUUUCACCCUCUUUACUGAAAAUUUUGGCCCUGGAAGCUACCUACCUGUUACCCCUUCGCUUGGCACUCCUAGAUGAGAUGAUGUCUGACCUAACCACCCUGGUGGAUGGUUACCUAAACACGUAUCGCGAAGGGUCUGCAGACCGGCUUGGAGGCACUGAGCCUACAUGUAUGGAGCUGCCAGAGGAACUGCUUCAAUUCAAGGACUUCCAGAAGCAGCGCAGGGAGAAAGCUGCAAGAGAAUAUAGGGUGAAUGCACAGGGACUCCUGAUAAGGACAGUGCUACAGCCAAAGAAAUUAGUGACAGAGACAGCAGGGAAAGAGGAGAAAGUCAAAGGCUUCUUAUUUGGUAAAAAUUUUAGGAUAGAUAAAGCUCCAAGUUUUACAUCUCAAGACUUUCACGGGGAUGUGAAUUUACUGAAAGAAGAAUCUUUGAAUAAACAAGCUACAAAUCCUCAACAUCUACCUCCCGCAGAGGAAGGGGAAACCAGUGAGGAUUCCAGUAACAAACUCAUUUGCACAGAGUCAAAGGGGUCAGAGGACCAGAGAAUAACUCAGAAAGAACACUUUAUGACACCCAAACAUGAGUUUCAGGCAAGUUUAUCUUUGAAAGAGGAGACAGAACAGUUAUUGAUGGUGGAAAACAAGGAAGAUUUAAAAUGCACAAAACAGGCUGUUUCAAUGUCUUCCUUUCCUCAGGAAACCAGAGUGUCUCCAAGUGACACUUUUUAUCCUAUCAGAAAGGCUGUGGUUUCCACACUCCCUCCCUGUCCAGCCUUGGAGAAGAUCGAUUCCUGGAUAAGUCCUUUUCUAAAUCUGCCCUAGAGAUGGGCAGUUUGUUCUUAAGGCCAUGCAGAUGGCUUAUUUCCUUUGCCAUCAGGGCUUUCCACAGUGCCCAGGUUUCUCAUGUUGUAAAUGUAGUAAUGCUUCAGUCACAGGAGAAAAUUAUAUCCUCUUGCUUACUCCUGUGUUCCUGGUAUGUGGAGAAUGAGAAUGAAUAUGUUAAAUAAUGGAAGAAGUAUAAUUUCUGAUUAUGUCACUGUGUAGAAAUGUUCUCAGUGACCAGAGUGCAUUAUUUCUCAUAAUUUGGGUUUAGAGGAUUUGAAGAAAGGAAGAAUCUUGGGCUUAGUAUCAGGAAGACUCCAUCAUUUUCAAAUUUUGUUUUGCUUCUUGACUUUUGGAUUCCUUUGAAGAGACCUGGUAAAACUAUUAACAAUUCAUUUUAAAAAUUGGUACCUGAUAACUUUACCAGUACUUUUUUCCUUUUUAUUUAUUUGUUUUAUUUUUUUUUUUUACCACUCCUUGUGGAGCAGGGCUACACCAUAGGCAGUGUGCCCAGAGUAACCACUUUUUUCCUUUUUAAAAUAUAAUAUUAACUUUAUGUUUGAAUGUUGAAUGUUUUGUCUGUCUCUUAGGCAAAUAAUGUUAUAGGAAUCAAUAAUUUAAUUUUUGUUUUAUUUGUUUUUUGAUGGAGUCUCACUCUGUCACCCAGGCUGGAGUGCAGUGGCGUGAUCUCUGCUCACUGCAACCUCCGCCUCCCGGGUUCAAGCAAUUCUCCUGCCUCAGCCUCCUGAGUAGCUGGGAUUACAGGCGCAUGCCACCACGCCUGGCUAAUUUUUGUAUUUUUAGUAGAGAUGGGGUUUCACCAUGUUGGCCAGGCUGGUCUUGAACUCCUGACUGACCUUGUGGUCCACCCGCCUUGGCCUUCCAAAGUGCUGGGAUUACAGGUGUGAGCCACCGUGCCCAGCCAAUAUCUUUAUUUUAAUUUGUUUUUAUUUCCUUUAUUUUUAGCUGGUUUUGUCCAUUUUCCUAACAAAGCAGGGACCCUGGGUUUCUUUUUAGUUUGUCUGUUAUAUAAACUUGAAGUCUGACUCCAUUCUAUUUGCCUGGAGUUAGUAUACUUUCUUAGGUUGAAAGGAAGGCAGCUUGUAUUGAGCCUUUUAAAGUAUUGAAUGCUUGCAAAUUGCUAACAUUCUUUUGUGUAAAAUAACCAAUAAACCUGUUUUGUCAUACUCUACUU